rnacentral:misc_RNA from 1 species
UCAAUCUUGCGGAUUGCUGUUUUUUUAAUGUGCUGGUUUUAUUAAACCUUAGUAAUUAAAAAUGGGGGUUGCGCUUGUAAUAUGGAAUUAACCAAAAUUUUACAACACAAACUGACGAUAGCCAUGCAAUACCUAAGUAAACCAAACAAUUAUAAAAUAAAGUUAUUAUAUAACAGUAACGUAAACGUCUUUCUUACAAAUUUACGUGUGCGGUUUUACUAUUUAAGGUCUGGUAAGAUUUUUAGAGUUGUAUCUAAUUAAAUAACAUGCUCCACAGCUAGUAAAAGAUCGCCGCCUAUUCUUUUAAGUUUCAUUCUUGCGAAAGUAGUCCCCCGGUAGAAUAUUUAAUGCGUUAGCUGUAAUACUAAGGUUUUUCUUAAUAUUUAAUAUUCAUCGUUUA